rnacentral:rRNA from 1 species
UACGGGGGGGGUAAGCGUUGUUCGGAAUUACUGGGCGUAAAGGGCUCGUAGGCGGCCAACUAAGUCGGACGUGAAAUCCCUCAGCUUAACUGGGGAACUGCGUCCGAUACUGGGUGGCUUGGAUUUGGGAGAGGGAUGCGGAAUUCCAGGUGUAGCGGUGAAAUGCGUAGAUAUCUGGAGGAACACCGGUGGCGAAGGCGGCAUCCUGGACCAAUAUUGACGCUGAGGAGCGAAAGCCAGGGGAGCAAACGGG